GUUAUAAACAAAUUGAAUACAAAAAAAAAAAAACUAAACAUUCAUAAUACUAAAUUCAUAUAUUCAUAUUUUUUAGUCAAUUUGUUGCCGAAUGAUACUGUGAAAAUAAGUGAUGACAGUGUUGUUGUUAUUAAAAUGAUUAAAAUUCCAAAAAUAAAAAUUCCCCAAAAAAAUAUGUGUUAUGAGAACAAUGUCAUAAAAACUAUCGCGACUGCAAUGAUGGAGUUGCAUGAUAUGGGGCAUAAUGCCAUCCCCUUGGAUGUAUUAAUAUGUUACCUAAAAAAAUGCUCUCAAUUUAAUAUUAAAAUUAUCAAAUACCUUACAGACUACAAUAUUGAACUCCAAAAUAAUUUAAAUAAUAAUUCAAAUAAAAAAUUCUUUCCAACAAAGUUAAUACAUCAAAAAAUUUUUUCUUACAUUAAACAAAACAAUUUAUUUCUUAAUUAUAAUCAGCAAAAUCAUCAAAUUAUUCAUAACCUUAUAAGUCAAGAUAGCCAUUUAAAGAAAAAAAGUAAAAAAUACUUGAAUCAAGAAAAAAAAAAAAUAAAUAAAGCAAUAGCCAGUAAAACUUUAAAACAUAUGGUGGAAUUUGAAAUAAA